UGCAGUCGAGCGGUAGAGAGAAGCUUGCUUCUCUUGAGAGCGGCGGACGGGUGAGUAAUGCCUAGGAAUCUGCCUGGUAGUGGGGGAUAACGUUCGGAAACGGACGCUAAUACCGCAUACGUCCUACGGGAGAAAGCAGGGGACCUUCGGGCCUUGCGCUAUCAGAUGAGCCUAGGUCGGAUUAGCUAGUUGGUGGGGUAAUGGCUCACCAAGGCGACGAUCCGUAACUGGUCUGAGAGGAUGAUCAGUCACACUGGAACUGAGACACGGUCCAGACUCCUACGGGAGGCAGCAGUGGGGAAUAUUGGACAAUGGGCGAAAGCCUGAUCCAGCCAUGCCGCGUGUGUGAAGAAGGUCUUCGGAUUGUAAAGCACUUUAAGUUGGGAGGAAGGGCCAUUACCUAAUACGUGAUGGUCUUGACGUUACCGACAGAAUAAGCACCGGCUAACUCUGUGCCAGCAGCCGCGGUAAUACAGAGGGUGCAAGCGUUAAUCGGAAUUACUGGGCGUAAAGCGCGCGUAGGUGGUUUGUUAAGUUGGAUGUGAAAUCCCCGGGCUCAACCUGGGAACUGCAUUCAAAACUGACUGACUAGAGUAUGGUAGAGGGUGGUGGAAUUUCCUGUGUAGCGGUGAAAUGCGUAGAUAUAGGAAGGAACACCAGUGGCGAAGGCGACCACCUGGACUGAUACUGACACUGAGGUGC
rnacentral:rRNA from 1 species